UCGUAUGCCAAACAGGGUUGGGCCUGGUUAGUACCUGAAUGGGAGACCGCUUGGGAAUACCAGGUGCUGUAAGUU
rnacentral:rRNA from 1 species